rnacentral:rRNA from 1 species
GACGUAGGGUGCAGGCGUUGUCCGGAUUUACUGGGCGUAAAGAGCGCGUAGGCGGCUCGUUAAGUGAGAAGUGAAAGCUCUGGGCUCAACCCAGAAACCGCUUUUCAUACUGGCAAGCUGGAGUGAUGCAGAGGUGGAUAGAAUUCCCGGUGUAGCGGUGAAAUGCGUUGAUAUCGGGAGGAAUACCCGUGGCGAAGGCGGCUAUCUGGACCGUAACUGACGCUGAGGCGCGAAAGCGUGGGGAGCAAACAGG